rnacentral:rRNA from 1 species
GUUGAACGCUGGCGGCAGGCCUAACACAUGCAAGUCGAGCGCGAAAGGCCUUCGGGCUGAGUAGAGCGGCGGACGGGUGAGUAACGCGUAGGAAUCUACCUGGUAGUGGGGGACAACUUGGGGAAACUCAAGCUAAUACCGCAUACGCCCUAAGGGGGAAAGCGGGGGACCUUCGGGCCUCGAGCUAUCGGAAGAGCCUGCGUAGGAUUAGCUAGUUGGUGAGGUAAAGGCUCACCAAGGCGACGAUCCUUAGCUGGUCUGAGAGGAUGAUCAGCCACACUGGGACUGAGACACGGCCCAGACUCCUACGGGAGGCAGCAGUGGGGAAUAUUGGACAAUGGGCGCAAGCCUGAUCCAGCCAUGCCGCGUGUGUGAAGAAGGCCUUCGGGUUGUAAAGCACUUUAAGUGGGGAGAAAGGCCCGUUGGCGAAUACCCAACGGGAUUGAUGUUACCCACAGAAUAAGCACCGGCUAACUCCGUGCCAGCCGCCGCAGUAACAC